GACGAACGCUGGCGGCGUGCUUAACACAUGCAAGUCGAACGGAAAGGCCCUGCUUGCCGGGUACUCGAGUGGCGAACGGGUGAGUAACACGUGGGUGAUCUGCCCUGCACUUCGGGAUAAGCUUGGGAAACUGGGUCUAAUGCCGGAUAGGAGCCAUCUUUAGUGUGGUGGUUGGAAAGUUUUUUCGGUGUAGGAUGAGCUCGCGGCCUAUCAGCUUGUUGGUGGGGUAAUGGCCUACCAAGGCGGCGACGGGUAGCCGGCCUGAGAGGGUGUACGGCCACAGUGGGACUGAGAUACGGCCCAGACUCCUACGGGAGGCAGCAGUGGGGAAUAUUGCACAAUGGGCGCAAGCCUGAUGCAGCGACGCCGCGUGGGGGAUGAAGGCCUUCGGGUUGUAAACUCCUUUCGCUAGGGACGAAGCUUUGUUGUGACGGUACCUAGAUAAGAAGCACCGGCUAACUACGU
rnacentral:rRNA from 1 species